rnacentral:rRNA from 1 species
CCCGCACAAGCGGUGGAGUAUGUGGUUAAUUCGAUGCAACGCGAAGAACCUUACCUGGUCUUGACAUCCCGGAGACCCUUAGGAAACUAGGGGUGCUUCCAUCUGGAAGAAUCUGGAGACAGGUGCUGCAUGGCUGUCGUCAGCUCGUGUCGUGAGAUGUUGGGUUAAGUCCCGCAACGAGCGCAACCCUUGCCUUUAGUUGCCAGCAGUUCGGCUGGGCACUCUAAAGGGACUGCCGGUGUUAAACCGGAGGAAGGUGGGGAUGACGUCAAGUCCUCAUGGCCUUUAUGACCAGGGCUACACACGUACUACAAUGGCCGAUACAAAGGGCAGCGACACUGCGAGGUGAAGCCAAUCCCGUAAAAUCGGUCUCAGUCCGGAUUGGAGUCUGCAACUCGACUCCAUGAAGUUGGAAUCGCUAGUAAUCGUGGAUCAGCAUGCCACGGUGAAUACGUUCCCGGGCCUU